GACGAACGCUGGCGGCGUGCCUAAUACAUGCAAGUCGAACGAACUCUGGUAUUGAUUGGUGCUUGCAUCAUGAUUUACAUUUGAGUGAGUGGCGAACUGGUGAGUAACACGUGGGAAACCUGCCCAGAAGCGGGGGAUAACACCUGGAAACAGAUGCUAAUACCGCAUAACAACUUGGACCGCAUGGUCCGAGCUUGAAAGAUGGCUUCGGCUAUCACUUUUGGAUGGUCCCGCGGCGUAUUAGCUAGAUGGUGGGGUAACGGCUCACCAUGGCAAUGAUACGUAGCCGACCUGAGAGGGUAAUCGGCCACAUUGGGACUGAGACACGGCCCAAACUCCUACGGGAGGCAGCAGUAGGGAAUCUUCCACAAUGGACGAAAGUCUGAUGGAGCAACGCCGCGUGAGUGAAGGAGGGUUUCGGCUCGUAAAACUCUGUUGUUAAAGAAGAACAUAUCUGAGAGUAACUGUUCAGGUAUUGACGGUAUUUAACCAGAAAGCCACGGCUAACUACGUGCCAGCAGCCGCGGUAAUACGUAGGUGGCAAGCGUUGUCCGGAUUUAUUGGGCGUAAAGCGAGCGCAGGCGGUUUUUUAAGUCUGAUGUGAAAGCCUUCGGCUCAACCGAAGAAGUGCAUCGGAAACUGGGAAACUUGAGUGCAGAAGAGGACAGUGGAACUCCAUGUGUAGCGGUGAAAUGCGUAGAUAUAUGGAAGAACACCAGUGGCGAAGGCGGCUGUCUGGUCUGUAACUGACGCUGAGGCUCGAAAGUAUGGGUAGCAAACAGGAUUAGAUACCCUGGUAGUCCAUACCGUAAACGAUGAAUGCUAAGUGUAGGAGGGUUUCCGCCCUUCAGUGCUGCAGCUAACGCAUUAAGCAUUCCGCCUGGGGAGUACGGCCGCAAGGCUGAAACUCAAAGGAAUUGACGGGGGCCCGCACAAGCGGUGGAGCAUGUGGUUUAAUUCGAAGCUACGCGAAGAACCUUACCAGGUCUUGACAUACUAUGCAAAUCUAAGAGAUUAGACGUUCCCUUCGGGGACAUGGAUACAGGUGGUGCAUGGUUGUCGUCAGCUCGUGUCGUGAGAUGUUGGGUUAAGUCCCGCAACGAGCGCAACCCUUAUUAUCAGUUGCCAGCAUUAAGUUGGGCACUCUGGUGAGACUGCCGGUGACAAACCGGAGGAAGGUGGGGAUGACGUCAAAUCAUCAUGCCCCUUAUGACCUGGGCUACACACGUGCUACAAUGGAUGGUACAACGAGUUGCGAACUCGCGAGAGUAAGCUAAUCUCUUAAAGCCAUUCUCAGUUCGGAUUGUAGGCUGCAACUCGCCUACAUGAAGUCGGAAUCGCUAGUAAUCGCGGAUCAGCAUGCCGCGGUGAAUACGUUCCCGGGCCUUGUACACACCGCCCGUCACACCAUGAGAGUUUGUAACACCCAAAGUCGGUGGGGUAACCUUUUAGGAACCAGCCGCCUAAGGUGGGACAGAUGAUUAGGGUG
rnacentral:rRNA from 1 species